UUUCUUUUCACCCAGCUCAUUUCCAUCUUCUCUCAGCCGCAGGCGCCUGUCCUCUCUCAACCGCGACUCUCGUCACAAUUACGGAUAGAAGAGGGGAGUGGAGGAGGACUGGAGGAAGCAGAGCUCAGACUGUGAGUUGGGUUUUGCUCAGAUUUCUUGCUUGUGCAUCACGUAUGCUUCUUCUAGCUGCUCUAUUCUCUCUCUCUCUCUCUCUCUCUCUCUCUCUCUCUCUCUUUCUGUACUUUUGGAAUGGUUUUUCAGUGUUUUGCGCUUGAAUCUCAGAUUUGCAUUGCUUGUUCUGUAGUGGGUUGUAUUUUGUUUUCCCAUUAAAUUUGAAAUGGGAGGAAUAAUUAGCUGGUUUGCUCAAUUGUAGAAGACAAAGUUUGCCAAAGUAAUGUUCUUGCAGAAAGAUUUUUUUAAUAGUUUUGAGUUUCUGGCGUUUAUGGGAAACUGCUGGUCUGCUUUUAGGGAUUUGGUUAGCUGAAUGCGAUGAUAUUUGCAAAGAUUGGGAGAAAAAUGAUGGAUUCCUUAAAUGGGGUUCUUUUAGAUUUCGAUUUGGGUGUGCUCAAAAGUGUGAGAUUUUUUAGCUAUUCACAUUGCUUCUAUUAGGGGCUCAUUGCGUAUUCAGGUCAACUUCCAUUCCCUGGUAUAUGUGACAACAAAAUGGAUAUUAAACACCUGAAGCUAUUGCAAAGGAACUUUGAACUACAAUUUGUGUUGUGUAAAUUAUGUUAUCACUCUAUCAACAACGGGGAGAAAAGUUAGAGGAUUGUUUUAAUUUACCAAGUUCAUGUGGAGAAAGUCCUCAAUCUUAGUAUUAGCAAAUAACCUAUUAGUCGAAGGGAAAUAAGAUAACCAGUAAGUAAAUUUUUGUGACUGAUUGUGUUCUGUAAUGUUAAUUUAUUUCAGUUUGCAGAUAUGUUUAUUAACUUGUUCAUUGAAGUCCUCCAUGAAAUUUUUUUUCUUCAUUAUUUUGUGUAGACUAAUGGCUCAUCUAAGUUUGUCCACAAAGAAGAAAUUACAUGCUGUGUUGAAUGUGUUGAUUGUCUAUCUUCGAACUAUAUUUGUUGCAUGUGCUACUUCUUGUUUCUAUUCUUGGUAUCGUUUCCAAAAGUGCCUUAGAAGUCCCUCACCUUGUCAAACAGUUAUAAGAGUUUACAAGCAAUUAGAAUACUUACAUGGUUUAAUUUAUGAGAGUGAUGUGACAUGUAUUGUUGAACUACAAAUGGAUAGACGAUCCUUUCAUAGAUUAUGUCAAGUUCUUGUGACUAGAGGACAACUACGAGCUACUCGAAAUGUGUCUAUAGAGGAGAUGGUUGCAUUUUUUUCAAUACAUUCUUGCACACCAAUCGCACAAUUAACCACCACUUUAGAAGGUUUGGUUGAACAAUUAGUAAGUAUUUCCAUGAGUGUAUUAAAGCAAUGAUUCGAUGCCAAAAGGAUUUCUGGCAAACACUUGAGCCUAUCCCUGAGAACUCAAUCGACACAAAGUGGAACUGGUUUAAGGUAUGUAGUAUCUACAUGCCUACACUACUCAGUAAUUACUAGCUUUUUAUUUCAUAGUUUAGUUUGUUAAUUUAGUGUCCUAUAUACUGUGGAAUUGCUUAGGUGCACUAGAUGGAACACUUGUUAAGGUGCAUGUACCAGAAUGUGAUAAACCAAAGUACAGAACAAGGAAAAAUGAAAUAGCAAUGAAUGUUUUGGGAGUUUGCACUCCAGACAUGCUGUUUAUAUAUGUUUUACCAGGAUGGGAAGAGUUUGUACAUGAUGGUCGAGUUCUUAGAGAUGCUGUGACUAGGAGAAAUGGAUUGAAAAUACCUAAUGGUUGUUACUAUUUAGUUGAUGGUGGCUACACAAACGGAAAAGGUUUUCUUGCACCUUAUAGACGAACCCGUUAUCAUCUGAAUGAGUGGAGAGAUGGUUAUCGUCCUACGACACCAGUUGAGUUUUUUAAUAUGAAACACUCAAGUGCUCAGAAUGUCAUUUUAAUUCCUCCUCAAUCCAAUUCAUCCUCAAUUCAA